rnacentral:lncRNA from 1 species
UCUACCAAGUAAAUAUUUCUUUGCCUUUGUCCUACAAGUACAAUGCUAUUAUCUUUAGGAUUUGUGAUUAUGCAUACUGAUGCUUCAAAUGUGACUUUAAACCCUUUAUCACAAAAUUGACUUAUGCUAAGCAGGUUAUGUUUCAAACCCUGAACUAAUAAGACAUUUUCUAUAAAAAUAGAUGGAGUAAUGAAAAUUUUACCCUUUCCAAUGAUAUGCCCUUUACCAUUGUCUCCAUA